GAGAGAGAGAGAGAGAGAGCACUACAAAUAUGUGCCUGUCUCCUUUUUUAUGCCUCUAUAUACUAGGCAGCAGGCAGGAAAAUUACAAUAUGAACACAAAAUCUGCGUCAAGUGAUCCCAUAAUUAUUUGACAUGCUCAAACUGAAACUCACAAAAUUAAACUUUUGUGAUGCAUUUUUUAACAUAGUAAUGAAGCAUGCUUUGGUGUUUCGCUUUGGGAUUAGAUGUUGACACAGUAUACUUAUACCUACAGAAAAUGCAUAUACAAUGCAUCACAGUAAAAACAGCAGAGCAUUUUGGCUGAGAUGACACAAGUACAGAAAUAUAAAACAGCAAAACAUCCACACAACUAAUAGAGUGAACAAAAAACAAUAAUUAAUAAAAAUGCAAAAAGGUAAACAAAAUUAAGAUUUUAACAAUAGCAUGCAAGCUAAAUGAACGGGCAAUCAUGAGAUAUGAAAAUAUUUGAACAAUUACCCAUCUGCGCAUAUGAUAG
rnacentral:misc_RNA from 1 species